rnacentral:rRNA from 1 species
UACGAAGGGAGCUCGCGUUGUUCGGAAUCACUGGGCGUAAAGCGCACGUAGGCGGAUUUGUCAGUCGGGGGUGAAAUCCCGAGUCUCAACCUCGGAACUGCCUCCGAUACAGCAAAUCUCGAGUCCGGGAGAGGUGGGUGGAAUUCCUAGUGUAGAGGUGAAAUUCGUAGAUAUUAGGAAGAACACCAGUGGCGAAGGCGGCCCACUGGCCCGGUACUGACGCUGAGGUGCGAAAGCGUGGGUAGCGAACAGG